rnacentral:rRNA from 1 species
UCUCAAGGUUGACCUCGGAUCAGGUAGGGAUACCCGCUGAACUUAAGCAUAUCAAUAAGCGGAGGAAG